rfam:Prevotella oulorum F0390 genomic scaffold supercont1.1, whole genome shotgun sequence.
GGGGUUGACUGGAUUUGACGGCGAGAUGAAAUGGUAUGUAAGCACGCGGAGAUUUGGUUGUUUUCUCCCUAAUCAAAGCAAUCAGAAAAUUAAUUGGCGAAAACAAUUACGCUCUCGCUGCCUAAUCGAAGCAUAGUAGAUUACUGGCUUAAUUGCGUCACCAGGUGAUGCAACGAGACACCGCUCCAAGGAUGUUUUUCCGAAUCUGAAGACUCAGCGGUGCAGGUAAAUCGGAGAUAGUUGAGGUUGGCCUCGCAACCUUGAUGACACUUUUAGAGGAUAAGUCUGUAGUUGGUGGUUCAGGUCUUGCUACAGAACGAAAACCAAAGGCUGAAAUAAGCGUGUAGAAAGCGUAUGAUUUCCUUGUGCGGACGUGGGUUCGAAUCCCACCAGCUCCACUU